GGGCAGGGGCGUUUCUCCCGGCGGGGGGGGUGGGAAAAGCGGAUCGCGAUCGGGGCAGGGCGCGCUGCGAUUGGCCGCCGUGGAUUUCCUGGGCGGAGGGAGGCGAUGAGGGCGCGGAUAGCCCACGGUCGCUGUUCGCGCCGUGCGCGUGGCACUGACCCCAGCCGCAAAGGGCACCUUUGCCUUGCCUUGCCCUUCGUGGGUCCUUCUUCCCGUGUAGCCUGAUUCCACUUCCCUUUCGUUUCUUUGUUUUGUUUUUUUGGGGUAUCUAUUCUCGGGCUUUGCAUAUUUCGUUUCGCUUGGUUUUUUGUCUGAUAUUUGUGUGGGGACUUUGGUUUAUGGUUCGUGGAAGGGGUCGGUUUGUUUGUUUGUUUGUUGGUUUGCUGGGGGGCUUGGCCUUUGGUUUUGGGGGGUGUUGUGGCUGGCCGAGCACGAUGCGUCCGUGAGACAAGUGGACAAAGUUUGUCAUUACACACACUCUCUCUCUCCCUUUGGCGUUCUGCCGUGCCGGGCCGCUAGCAUGGACGUGCCCUGCAGCAGCUGCGUGGUUUCUGAGCCAGGGGUUUGGAAUUAUUUUCUUUUUGGCAGGUCGCGUUUUUAUGAAUCUUGGUCGACGUCUGGCUGUGCCCUAAUUAUUCCCGUUUCUUCGUUUUCUGGGAGAAACUGUCUGCCAACAGAUCUGAAUAUUUGUUGGUGCAUUGGAAUUUGCGAUUUAGUUAGAGGAAUCGGCCCUACUCGGUCGAGUGCUCGGUUCGUAGGAUUUCUGUCAUUGGAAUUCUAACGCAAGGUGGUGUUCAGGGCAUUGGGGUUUCUUACUGGCUGGAAAACUCUACUCCAUGAAAAACGUCGAGAGCCGACGUCGAAGAUGGUAGCUAGGUGUUGGAGGUCCUGCAACUGUGCGUGAAGGAGGAGAAGAACCGCAAGUCGGCCAUGUUGGUUCCGGCUUGUUGAUCUUUGGUAGUUGGUGUCUCGUUCGGGAGGCUUUGUUUUCUGUUGUUGGUGUGAUCGAUGGUUGUUGGCUGUUUCAGUUGUUCGUUGAAUCUUGCUGGCUCUCCAGCUUGCGCCAUGACGCUGUAUGACUGGCUUUCUUAAUAAAGCCGGGCAAAUAGCCUUUCUUUAUAAAAAAAAUCAUGAGACAGCCAACAAAAGUACACAUUCCAGGAA